ensembl:lncRNA
UUCCUCAGGUGUCUGCAAUACAAACAUCCAUUCCUUUCACUCCCCUUCUGAGUCUAAAUAAAUCCUGAGGUGGCUGGAAAGGAAGCUUCACCAGCCUGAGUGACCUGAUGAGAAAUCUCUCCCGUGAAACUUGAUGGGACGGACUUAGGAGUUUCAGCUUCUAGACACCCAGUGGGUGAUGUUACAAGUAUUCGAGGAUCAUCUUCAUAUGAUUGACAGAGCAGGGAAAGAGAGAGAGGCCCAGUCUCACAGGAGGUGACAACGAGGUCAGCUGGCUUGGAGAAAACAGCACUCCUCCACGUGACAGUCCUCACAUGCUGCAGACCUGAGAGGGAAAUCCUCUGGAUUCUGACAGCGCUCCUGGGGCUCAGCCCCGGCCCAGCCCUGAGGCUGCCGUGGGAAGAGAGCCUGGAGAGGCUGCGUGGUGCUGCCAUUGCUUCUCCAGGGACCAGAGAGAGCUGCAGCCUGAACGCCUUUGUUCUUCUCAUCCCCCGUGGCCUCUGCUGACUGGAGCCUCAGAAACCCAGCCUGGCCUUUCCCUCUUUCUCCUCACUCACCCGCUCCUCACUCCCUCCCGCUUACUUCCACAUGUUAUUGGAGAGCAGAGCGCUUCUUAAACCUCACAGUCACCCAGAGUUUGUUCCCCAGUAUUGUUACUGCUCUACAGGAGUCAGUUCCUAUCCCUCCCAUUCUCUCAUGCUCCUCUCUCGCUUUCUCAGAUUCUCCUGCUUGUGUUCCUUCCCGUGUCUACAAAGGCAGGAGAGAGAGGAAGGCCAGCAGAGGGCAAAGAGCACCAGAGCUGAAUCAGGAGACAGAGGAGCUGUGUGGGUUUGGUCACUGAUGUGUAUGACUUUGGGCAAACAGUACAUUCUUGUCUGGGCACCAGUGUUGUCAUCUGCAGACGGAGUUGGGUGCCCCCAGGGCAGAAACCCAAUGCCACAUGUUGUGUCGGUAUUGGUGCCAUGAGGAUGCAAAGAAUAAGUCUGUCCUGGCUUUUACAAACUUACUGAGUAAUGUCAUAUUCUUUAUGACACACACACACACAUAUAUUCAGAUAGAGAGAUAAAUUGAUAGAUAAUUACUGGGGGGAGAAAACUGGAUAAAUGAAGGAUCUUAUAGUCCACUGAAUCCAAUAAAAUCUUGCAGAGAGAAUGAACCAGAUUCAUCCUUUCCUUGAAUUCACUUGACCUGCUCCUUGUGUUCAGGUGUGGCGCUCCACCCCAGUUUUUCACCAUUGAUUGAAAUAAGGAAGCACUUAAAGCUGGUUUUGUUUUGUUUUUUUUUUUUGCCGCCACAACGAUCUGCGGCUGGUUCCUGCUUGUGGCAAAAAAACGAUCUUAACCAGAUGAUUGAAGGGCAUGGGAUACACAGCACAAAUCAGAACUGUAAACCAGGCUUAUUCCUGAGUGAAACACACCCUAAACAG